GUCGAGAAGCAGCUACCCAAGCUCCAGGAGCUUCCGGGCCGCAUCAUCGAGUGCACACACUGUGGCUGUCGUGGCUGCUCUGGCUGAGGCUGGCGCGCUCCACCCUGGACUCUGGACUUCGCAGGUUCCUGCCUGUCACGCCACCCCCUUCCUGGGAGCAGCGAGCAGUGCCCCAGGCCCGAGUUGGAGCACGGUCUCUAUGGGGAAGGCUUCGCUGUCUAUCAGCUGUGAUUUGUAAAAAUAAAAUCUUUAAAUCUCUCG
rnacentral:lncRNA from 1 species